CCUACGGGAGGCAGCAGUCGAGAAUCUUCCCCAAUGGGCGAAAGCCUGAGGGAGCGACGCCGCGUGAGGGAUGAAGGCCCUUUGGGUUGUAAACCUCUGUUAGGGGGAAAGAAAAGCAGUGGAAGCAAUAUGUCCAUUGCCUGACGUUACCCCCAGAGAAAGCUCCGGCCAACUCCGUGCCAGCAGCCGCGGUAAUACGGGGGGAGCAAGCGUUGUCCGGAAUCAUUGGGCGUAAAGGGCGUGUAGGCGGCUUGGCAAGUCGAAUGUGAAAUCCCACGGCUCAACCGUGGAACUGCGUUCGAAACUGCCUUGCUUGAGUGCGGGAGAGGUGUGCGGAAUUCCUGGUGUAGCGGUGGAAUGCGUAGAUAUCAGGAAGAACACCGGUGGCGAAGGCGGCACACUGGCCCAGCACUGACGCUGAGGCGCGAAAGCGUGGGGAGCGAACGGGAUUAGAUACCCCGGUAGUCCACGCUGUAAACUUUGGGCACUAGGUAUUGGAGGUCUCAACCCCUUCAGUGCCGUAGCUAACGCGUUAAGUGCCCCGCCUGGGGAGUACGGUCGCAAGGCUGAAACUCAAAUGAAUUGACGG
rnacentral:rRNA from 1 species